UACGUAGGGUGCAAGCGUUAAUCGGAAUUACUGGGCGUAAAGCGUGCGCAGGCGGCUAUGCAAGACAGAUGUGAAAGCCCCGGGCUCAACCCGGGAAGUGCACUCGAUACUGCGUAGCUUGAGUCUCGGAGAGGUUGGUGGAAUUCUCGGUGUAGAGGUGAAAUUCGUAGAUAUCGAGAGGAACACCGGUGGCGAAGGCGGCCAACUGGACGAAGACUGACGCUGAGACACGAAAGCGUGGGGAGCAAACAGG
rnacentral:rRNA from 1 species